UUUCCGUAGGUGAACCUGCGGAAGGAUCAUUAUUGAAUAAACCUGAUGUGGUUGUAGCUGGCCCUUUCGGGAGCAUGUGCACACCCGUCGUCUUUAUCUUUCCACCUGUGCACCUUUUGUAGACCUGGAUGUAACACUUUCCGAGGCAACUCGGUCGGGAGGAAUGCUGUCAGCUUUCCUUAAAUGUCCAGGCCUAUGUUUUUAUAUACCCCAAAGAAUGUAACAGAAUGUAUUAUUGGGCCUUGUGCCUAUAAACUAUAUACAACUUUCAGCAACGGAUCUCUUGGCUCUC
rnacentral:misc_RNA from 1 species